ACGGCUCAGUAACACGUAGCUAACCUACCCUCAGGACGUGGACAACCCCGGGAAACUGGGGCUAAUCCGCGAUAGGUAUGAAGGCCUGGAAUGGUUUCAUGCCCAACGGCACAGCGAUCAUGUUUGUUGUGCGCCUGAGGAUGGGGCUGCGGCUGAUCAGGCAGUUGGCGAGGUAACGGCUCACCAAACCUUUGACCAGUACGGGCCAUGAAAGUGGUAGCCCGGAGAUGGGCACUGAGACAGGGGCCCAGGCCCUACGGGGCGCAGCAGGCGCGAAAACUCCACACUGUACGGAAGUACGAUGGGGUUAUCUCGAGUGCAGUCCGAUAAGGGCUGCUUUUCCAUAGAGUAAUAUCCUGUGGGAAUAAGAGGGGGGCAAGACUGGUGUCAGCCGCCGCGGUAACACCAGCCCCUCGAGUGGUGGGGACUAUUAUUUGGUCUAAAGCGUCCGUAGCUGGCUGUAUCCGUCCCCCGGCAAAUCCAGCGUCCUAAACGUUGGACUUCGGGUGAUACCAUACAGCUAGAGGGUGGGAUAGGUGAGCGGUAUUUCUGGGGUAGGGGCGAAAUCCUUUGAUCCCAGGAGGACCACCAGUGGCGAAGGCUGCUCACUAGAACACGCCUGACGGUCAGGGACGAAAGCUGGGGCAGCGAACCGGAUUAGAUACCCGGGUAGUCCCAGCUGUAAACGAUGCUAGCUAGGUGUUGGGUCGGCCACGCGCCGCCCCAGUGCCGCAGGGAAGCCGUUAAGCUAGCCACCUGGGGAGUACGGCCGCAGGCUGAAACUUAAAGGAAUUGGCGGGGGAGCACCACCAGGCGUGAAGCCUGCGGUUUAAUUGGAGUCAACGCCGGAAAUCUUACCAGGAUCGACAGCAGAGUGAAGGCCAGAUUGAAGUCUUGCUAGACGAGCUGAAAGGAGGUGCAUGGCCAUCGCCAGUUCGUGCCGUGGAGUGUCCUCUUAAGUGAGGUACGAGCGAGAACCCCGCCAUC
rnacentral:rRNA from 1 species